AUACCAUUUCUUUUGAAAUCUAAGGGGAUUCGUCACUGCACAGACAGCAAAACAUAUAGUUGUGUUGCCUGCUUGUUUUCCAAUGAUAAACUUACAUGAUAUUUGAUAAAAAUAGAUAAUCAAAAGAGGAAAUUGGCCAACAAAGAUGAAAGUGCAGUGAAAAACCAAAAUGUGAUCAUGCUGGAAAUGAAAUUUUAGUUAAAUGUAAAUGGGAUUCAAGAAAAACAAGUUAACCAUUGGGAUGUGGACACUGAGGCUUUGCAAGAGACUCUAAAAGUGCAGCCAGAGGAACUUAGUGAAGACUUACAUCAUACAUGAGGAAAGUGGCUGUUACAAAAAGGAUAAAGAUGUCCCAGAGGAAGUGACAUAAGCAAAGAGCUUCACAUUUAAGGAAUGCUCUGAGAUAUUUCACAACAUGGAAGGCAUAAAGGAUAAAGUGUUGGACACUGAUUCAAACGAAAAUUCACCAAGGCUCAGAAAAGAUGAUCCCCUGUACCAAGUUAUUUCACUAGAAUAAGACUAUGAGUUUGGCUGGGAAUUCAGCUGCACGUGAUGGAUCAUGCUUACCUUGCCUUCCCCCACCUGCAUGCCUCCCCUUGAAGAAGAUAAGCAUCUUUGGGAGCGAGAAUUUUUAAAUGAGAUUGUUUAUGCAUCAAGGAUGAUGCUUUGAGUCUCAUUUUCAAACUAGACACCUCUGUAAAUUGACCUGAAUGUUCUGUGUGUACACGGGCAUUGACGCAGAGGGAAAACAGCGGUUGCUCAGCAAGCACGUUUCUUCUACUCUGGGAUCUGCAGUACAGGCAGUACUCUCUGCCAAGCAUCUAACUAUUCGUAAAGUCCUUUCAAAAACAUUGUCACCAGAAAAUAAUCUCCAUGACGAGAGGAGGUUUGCCUGAUUUUUGUUUUUCUUUUAGUAUCCACUGUUCCUGUGAUAGUGCUUGGCACAUAGGAACUGCUCAAUUCAUAUUGGCUGAAUAAAUGAAUGAAUGAGUUGGUUUCUAUGAGGGUUGAUGUGAUAAGCCCAUUUUGUGGAUGACAAAAAUUGAGAAGUUUAGAUAUGUAAAGUGGUUUCCUAAGCUCACCUAUGCUCCUGAACUAUCCUGAACCCAGGCCCCCUAAUAAGAGUCUACUGGCUUACUCAAAGGCUUAAUGAGCUUAGCUUUCUAUCAUAAAUUGGGCCAUCUCCAGUGGUAGUUGGCGAGCUCCUUAUCAGAUUUCGAACAGGCUUAUUUGCACCUCUGCUGCUGUUAUGACCCUGCAUCAGCUGGACAGUCAAGUUUUGAGGGGCUGGAUGAAUCACAGAUUGGCUGGCUUUCUUACUGCUGAGGCGAUUAAAAACAGCUUUUCACAUUUCAUUUUCUCCGUGUCUCCUCUCACCUCCCCUCCCUUUCUGUGUAUCUUCCAUUCUUCCCAGAUCUCUGAAAUGCCUCUGUCACACAGUUCCUCUCUCUCUCUCCUUGUCCCUCCAGUUGGGAGAAAAGCUGUUGUAUUACCCUGUUCACACAUUGCUAUAUAUAAA